rnacentral:tRNA from 1 species
GCCUGGGUGGCUCAGUGGUUGAGCCUCUGCCUUUGGCUCAGGGCGUGAUCCCAGGGUCCUGGGAUCGAGUCCCAGAUCGGGUU